rnacentral:rRNA from 1 species
AUUGAACGCUGGCGGCAGGCCUAACACAUGCAAGUCGAGCGGAAACGAGUUAUCUGAACCUUCGGAACGAUAACGGCGUCGAGCGGCGGACGGGUGAGUAAUGCCUAGGAAAUUGCCCUGAUGUGGGGGAUAACCAUUGGAAACGAUGGCUAAUACCGCAUGAUGCCUACGGGCCAAAGAGGGGGACCUUCGGGCCUCUCGCGUCAGGAUAUGCCUAGGUGGGAUUAGCUAGUUGGUGAGGUAAGGGCUCACCAAGGCGACGAUCCCUAGCUGGUCUGAGAGGAUGAUCAGCCACACUGGAACUGAGACACGGUCCAGACUCCUACGGGAGGCAGCAGUGGGGAAUAUUGCACAAUGGGCGCAAGCCUGAUGCAGCCAUGCCGCGUGUGUGAAGAAGGCCUUCGGGUUGUAAAGCACUUUCAGUCGUGAGGAAGGUAGUGUAGUUAAUAGCUGCAUUAUUUGACGUUAGCGACAGAAGAAGCACCGGCUAACUCCGUGCCAGCAGCCGCGGUAAUAC